rnacentral:rRNA from 1 species
UAUCAUGCAGUCGAGCGGAAGAAGGGAGCUUGCUCCCGGAUGUUAGCGGCGGACGGGUGAGUAACACGUGGGUAACCUGCCUGUAAGACUGGGAUAACUCCGGGAAACCGGAGCUAAUACCGGAUAGUUCCUUGAACCGCAUGGUUCAAGGAUGAAAGACGGUUUCGGCUGUCACUUACAGAUGGACCCGCGGCGCAUUAGCUAGUUGGUGGGGUAAUGGCUCACCAAGGCGACGAUGCGUAGCCGACCUGAGAGGGUGAUCGGCCACACUGGGACUGAGACACGGCCCAGACUCCUACGGGAGGCAGCAGUAGGGAAUCUUCCGCAAUGGACGAAAGUCUGACGGAGCAACGCCGCGUGAGUGAUGAAGGUUUUCGGAUCGUAAAGCUCUGUUGUUAGGGAAGAACAAGUGCGAGAGUAACUGCUCGCACCUUGACGGUACCUAACCAGAAAGCCACGGCUAACUACGUGCCAGCAGCCGCGGUAAUACGUAGGUGGCAAGCGUUGUCCGGAAUUAUUGGGCGUAAAGGGCUCGCAGGCGGUUUCUUAAGUCUGAUGUGAAAGCCCCCGGCUCAACCGGGGAGGGUCAUUGGAAACUGGGAAACUUGAGUGCAGAAGAGGAGAGUGGAAUUCCACGUGUAGCGGUGAAAUGCGUAGAGAUGUGGAGGAACACCAGUGGCGAAGGCGACUCUCUGGUCUGUAACUGACGCUGAGGAGCGAAAGCGUGGGGAGCGAACAGGAUUAGAUACCCUGGUAGUCCACGCCGUAAACGAUGAGUGCUAG